rnacentral:rRNA from 1 species
AGGGAAUCUUCCACAAUGGACGCAAGUCUGAUGGAGCAACGGCCGCGUGAGUGAAGAAGGUUUUCGGACCGUAAAGCUCUGUUGUUGGUGAAGAAGGAUAGAGGUAGUAACUGGCCUUUAUUUGACGGUAAUCAACCAGAAAGUCACGGCUAACUACGUGCCAGCAGCCGCGGUAAUACGUAGGUGGCAAGCGUUGUCCGGAUUUAUUGGGCGUAAAGCGAGCGCAGGCGGAAGAAUAAGUCUGAUGUGAAAGCCCUCGGCUUAACCGAGGAAUUGCAUCGGAAACUGUUUUUCUUGAGUGCAGAAGAGGAGAGUAGAACUCCAUGUGUAGCGGUGGAAUGCGUAGAUAUAUGGAAGAAUACCAGUGGCGAAGGCGGCUCUCUGGUCUGCAACUGACGCUGAGGCUCGAAAGCAUGGGUAGCGAACAGGAUUAGAUACCCUGGUAGUCCAUGCCGUAAACGAUGAGUGCUAAGUGUUGGGAGGCUUCCGCCUCUCAGUGCUGCAGCUAACGCAUUAAGCACUCCGCCUGGGGGAGUACGACCGCAAGGUUGAAAC